GCCGUCGCACACUUUGCACGCCGCCCAGGGCUACACCACUCACCGAAAAUUGGGAGGUGCUGGAGAAUCUGGUAAAAGCACCAUUGUGAAGCAGAUGAGGAUCCUGCAUGUUAAUGGGUUUAAUGGAGAGGGCGGCGAAGAGGACCCGCAGGCUGCAAGGAGCAACAGCGAUGGUGAGAAGGCAACCAAAGUGCAGGACAUCAAAAACAACCUGAAAGAGGCGAUUGAAACCAUUGUGGCCGCCAUGAGCAACCUGGUGCCCCCCGUGGAGCUGGCCAACCCCGAGAACCAGUUCAGAGUGGACUACAUUCUGAGUGUGAUGAACGUGCCUGACUUUGACUUCCCUCCCGAAUUCUAUGAGCAUGCCAAGGCUCUGUGGGAGGAUGAAGGAGUGCGUGCCUGCUAUGAACGCUCCAACGAGUACCAGCUGAUUGACUGUGCCCAGUACUUCCUGGACAAGAUCGACGUGAUCAAGCAGGCUGACUACGUGCCGAGCGAUCAGGACCUGCUUCGCUGCCGUGUCCUGACUUCUGGAAUCUUUGAGACCAAGUUCCAGGUGGACAAAGUCAACUUCCACAUGUUUGACGUGGGUGGCCAGCGCGAUGAACGCCGCAAGUGGAUCCAGUGCUUCAACGAUGUGACUGCCAUCAUCUUCGUGGUGGCCAGCAGCAGCUACAACAUGGUCAUCCGGGAGGACAACCAGACCAACCGCCUGCAGGAGGCUCUGAACCUCUUCAAGAGCAUCUGGAACAACAG
rnacentral:sRNA from 1 species